UUGAACGCUGGCGGCAGGCCUAACCCAUGCAAGUCGCACGGUAACAGGAAGAAGCUUGCUUCUUUGCUGACGCGUGGCGGCCGGGUGAGUAAUGUCUGGGAAACUGCCUGAUGGAGGGGGAUAACUACUGGAAACGGUAGCUAAUACCGCAUAACGUCGCAAGACCAAAGAGGGGGACCUUCGGGCCUCUUGCCAUCGGAUGUGCCCAGAUGGGAUUAGCUAGUAGGUGGGGUAACGGCUCACCUAGGCGACGAUCCCUAGCUGGUCUGAGAGGAUGACCAGCCACACUGGAACUGAGACACGGUCCAGACUCCUACGGGAGGCAGCAGUGGGGAAUAUUGCACAAUGGGCGCAAGCCUGAUGCAGCCAUGCCGCGUGUAUGAAGAAGGCCUUCGGGUUGUAAAGUACUUUCAGCGGGGAGGAAGGGAGUAAAGUUAAUACCUUUGCUCAUUGACGUUACCCGCAGAAGAAGCACCGGCUAACUCCGUG
rnacentral:rRNA from 1 species